GUAGGUGAACCUGCGGAAGGAUCAUUACCGAGUGUAGGGUUCCUAGCGAGCCCAACCUCCCACCCGUGUUUACUGUACCUUAGUUGCUUCGGCGGGCCCGCCAUUCAUGGCCGCCGGGGGCUCUCAGCCCCGGGCCCGCGCCCGCCGGAGACACCACGAACUCUGUCUGAUCUAGUGAAGUCUGAGUUGAUUGUAUCGCAAUCAGUUAAAACUUUCAACAAUGGAUCUCUUGGUUCCGGCAUCGAUGAAGAACGCAGCGAAAUGCGAUAACUAGUGUGAAUUGCAGAAUUCCGUGAAUCAUCGAGUCUUUGAACGCACAUUGCGCCCCCUGGUAUUCCGGGGGGCAUGCCUGUCCGAGCGUCAUUGCUGCCCAUCAAGCACGGCUUGUGUGUUGGGUCGUCGUCCCCUCUCCGGGGGGGACGGGCCCCAAAGGCAGCGGCGGCACCGCGUCCGAUCCUCGAGCGUAUGGGGCUUUGUCACCCGCUCUGUAGGCCCGGCCGGCGCUUGCCGAACGCAAAUCAAUCUUUUUCCAGGUUGACCUCGGAUCAGGUAGGGAUACCCGCUGAACUUAAGCAUAUCAAUAAGCGGA
rnacentral:rRNA from 1 species